UGGGGAAUCUUAGACAAUGGGCGCAAGCCUGAUCCAGCCAUGCCGCGUGAGUGAUGAAGGCCUUAGGGUCGUAAAGCUCUUUCGCUGGGGAAGAUAAUGACUGUACCCAGUAAAGAAACCCCGGCUAACUCCGUGCCAGCAGCCGCGGUAAUACGGAGGGGGUUAGCGUUGUUCGGAAUCACUGGGCGUAAAGCGCACGUAGGCGGAUCUUUAAGUCAGGGUGAAAUCCCAAGGCUCAACCCUGGAACUGCCUCUAAAACUCCUAGUCUUGAGGUCGAGAGAGGUGAGUGGAAUUCCGAGUGUAGAGGUGAAAUUUCGUAGAUAUUCGGAGGAACACCAGUGGCGAAGGCGGUUCUCUGGGCAUUACCUGACGCUGAGGAGCGAAAGUGUGGGGAGCGAACAGGAUUAGAUACCC
rnacentral:rRNA from 1 species